rnacentral:lncRNA from 1 species
UUGCUACCUGUUAUGCAAGAAAAUCGUAUAUCCACUGCAAGACACCUUGUUUGCCUUUAUGGAAUCCUGUGGGAAUACCUCGAUCACCGGUUACAUGCCAAAACUUGAUGGUGAAGGCGAGAAAUAAAAAGAAAAGAAAAAAGGAGAAAAGAAUGAAAAAAUAUAUGAAAACAUAAAAAUAGAAAUAUGAAAAGAGAAAAAAAGAAAAGCUAAGAGAAAGACGAAAAAAAUAAUCAAGCAUCAAUCAUACCGCAUUCGCAUGCUGCAUACGUCAUGUAUAUCUAACCUCUCACAUAUACCCAUUUACCAUAUAACAUUCUAAUUCCCAGCU